CACAACUCCGAGACCCAUUUAAGGGCUGACUUACCACUGAGGAAGAAUUUCUCUCUGGAGAUCAUUCCUCUUGGAGUCUAUUUAUGCAAGACCAGGAUAUGGGAUAGCUGGGGACGUGCAUUGUGUCUCUGUACUUACAUACACCAAGUUCCAAUCAGUUCAGACCAAAGCUUCAGAGGAGAAAUACUGACUACUAAAAUCUGGAGUAAUACAAGAAACAGAGAAGAAAAUCAGAAAAAGUGUAGAAUCAAUUCAAGACUAUUGAAAUUGAAGGGAGUAAAAUACCCCUUCUAGUAUUGAACGGUUCUAGAUGGGAGCUGAAACUGAAUGUACCCACAUCUAUUUUAGCUAGUAAGCUUUAAAUGACCUAGACAUGGAGACUGCAAGUGGUUAUUAUGUUGAUGCUUUGCUUGUUAUUCUUUUCUAUAAAUUCCUUCCAAUUUCAUCACUAGUUACCUACAGAUCUGUCUGAAAUGCUCAUGUUCAUAUUCAAACACAGUCACAGGCUGCACAUCCUUUGAGAAAUGUUUUUUCGGUGUUUGGGAUGAGGAAAAUAGACAACGGAUUUUAUCUUAGCAUUCUUCUUUCCAGAUAAAUUUCCUUGCUAUAUUUUGCCUGUUUUUGUUUAAUUCUAAUAUUUCAUCCUUUUUUUUGUUGUUUUGACUCUACCCAACUGGUUUACCUUGUUUUUAAAGCAGGGUAAUAAAAGCUGGGCUCCAGCUGAGACCUCAUGUAUGCAGGAUAAAGAAUAAUUACCUCCUCUGUGUUACUUGCCACAACCUGUUACUUUUUAAUAGCAUCACAUUUUUCACCUGGAUUUAGUUUGUGAUCCAUUCUAACAUCUCUUCUUUGGUCCUUUUUUGUUAGUAUGCUGCUUAGCUAGCUAGUUCUGAUAAUUUUAUUUUAUUUGUAUGCUCAAUUUUCUCUCUUAGUUAUUGUUUUUUGUUGGUCAGUUCUUUUUUGUUGUUGUGUUGCUUUUGGAUUACUUCCCCAAUUUGCCAGAAUUGUUUUGAGCAGCAGGCAGUCUCCAGUAGGCUUUCAGCAAUGCAUGACUCACAAGUGAUACAGGUAGUCAUACGUUUAAUGAAGGUAUGGAAUAUGAGGAUACAGGAGAAAUAUACUGCCAAACUUUAGAGGGGGAAAAAAAAGUUGACUGCUUCUCUUUAGGUUUUCUUCAAUUAGUUCAUUUAUCAUUGAGUAAUUUGUUUAAGAUACUGUGUCCUUCUUUGGCUUAGGAAAACGUCAUGCAAAGCAAUGUCAAAAAACUUAGUAAAAUCCGUUGGAUUAUGAAACUACUUUCAGUUUAUCUAACAGGCCUUUCUAAAAGGAAGGGAAAGUAUGUAUGACAUUUACCUUCUUUUUGCUGCCAACUUGUUUCACUUUUUUGCUCACUUGUCUCAUCCCUAUUUCUCCUCCUCAUCACAUUCAUGACAAAGAGGGUUUUGGUGAAAUGACUCAAACAAAAAUGUUGCUAAAGACAGUAAAGGAAAAAAUGUGCACCAUUAUAACACUUCUAUGAUGGUCAGGAAGAGAUAAAUUCAGCUGCUUAAUUAAAAAAUAACAUUGAAUUUAGAGUUCUACUCUAAUCAUAAUUCCUUAAAGACUCCUACUGACUACAGGGAGAUGGGUAUCUUGACUGUUUUGCAAGAGUCUUGAGAAAACUGUUCUGUAAAGAAUCAUUCACUCUGUCUAGAAU